AGUGAACGCUGGCGGUAGGCCUAACACAUGCAAGUCGAGCGGCAGCACAGUAAGAGCUUGCUCUUACGGGUGGCGAGUGGCGGACGGGUGAGGUAUACAUCGGAAUCUACUUUUUCGUGGGGGAUAACGUAGGGAAACUUACGCUAAUACCGCAUACGACCUACGGGUGAAAGCAGGGGAUCUUCGGACCUUGCGCGAUUGAAUGAGCCGAUGUCGGAUUAGCUAGUUGGCGGGGUAAAGGCCCACCAAGGCGACGAUCCGUAGCUGGUCUGAGAGGAUGAUCAGCCACACUGGAACUGAGACACGGUCCAGACUCCUACGGGAGGCAGCAGUGGGGAAUAUUGGACAAUGGGCGCAAGCCUGAUCCAGCCAUACCGCGUGGGUGAAGAAGGCCUUCGGGUUGUAAAGCCCUUUUGUUGGGAAAGAAAAGCAGCAGGUUAAUACCCCGCUGUUCUGACGGUACCCAAAGAAUAAGCACCGGCUAACUUCGUG
rnacentral:rRNA from 1 species